CGGGCGACGAGUACAGUGGCGACGGGUGAGUAAUACUUGGGAAUCUGCCUAGUAGUGGGGGAUAACUCGGGGAAACUCGAGCUAAUACCGCAUACGCCCUACGGGGGAAAGAUUUAUCGCUAUUAGAUGAGCCCAAGUCAGAUUAGCUAGGUUGGUAGGGGUAAUGGCCUACCAAGGCGACGAUCUGUAGCUGGUCUGAGAGGACGAACAGCCACACUGGGACUGAGACACGGCCCAG
rnacentral:rRNA from 1 species